rnacentral:misc_RNA from 1 species
GGUUAGGCUUGAGAAGGUCCACCCAUUUGUUGAGGAGGAGAUCCGUGUCUCUGUGAGAUAAUGGCAGGGCCAGGAAGCUCCAUGUUGUAUUCUUUUCUUUUGUUCAUUGUCAUUCUCUCGCUUCAAGAGAUGUAUCGAGGCAAGUUAGCAUCAACAGAGUUGUUUACCAUACUUGGAGGCUUCAUCAGUUCUUUCCUAUUUCUUGUGCUGCUAACAUUCAUU